UACGGGGGGGAGCAAGCGUUGUUCGGAUUUACUGGGCGUAAAGGGCGCGUAGGCGGUCGUGACAAGUCACUUGUGAAAUCUCCGAGCUUAACUCGGAAAGGUCAACUGAUACUGUGCGGCUAGAGUGCAGAAGGGGCAACUGGAAUUCUCGGUGUAGCGGUGAAAUGCGUAGAUAUCGAGAGGAACACCUGCGGCGAAGGCGGGUUGCUGGGCUGAUACUGACGCUGAGGCGCGAAAGCCAGGGGAGCGAACGGG
rnacentral:rRNA from 1 species